UGGUAUUGGUGGAGGAAAUGAUGAAAGAGAGCAGACACUGAACCAACUUCUUACUGAAAUGGAUGGUUUUACUGGGAACACUGGAGUCAUUGUCAUUGCUGCUACUAAUAGGCCUGAAAUUCUUGAUCAAGCUUUGCUUAGACCUGGAAGGUUUGAUAGGCAGGUAAGAAAUGAGUUUUUUAAUGUAAAAUUUCCAAAAAGAUUUCAGUUUCCAGGAUACACUUCACUAACAUUGAUAUUACAUUUAUAUUGUAAUUCAACAGGUAACUGUUGGACUGCCUGAUAUAAGAGGAAGAGAAGAAAUAUUGAAAGUUCACAGUAACAACAAGAAGCUUGACAAAGAUGUGUCUCUAAGUGUUAUUGCAAUGAGAACACCAGGAUUCAGUGGUGCAGAUCUUGCAAACCUGAUGAAUGAAGCUGCCAUUCUAGCUGGAAGGAGAGGAAAAGAUAAGAUUACCUCAAAAGAGAUAGAUGAUUCCAUCGAUAGAAUUGUCGCUGGAAUGGAAGGAACUACCAUGACAGAUGGAAAGAACAAGAUUCUGGUAGCAUACCAUGAGGUUGGACAUGCUGUCUGCGCGUAAGUCAGCAAUUCUUGCCCCUUUAAUUGUUCUGUUGUUUGUUUUUCAACUAACAUUAGGUGUUCAAUAGGCCAUGCCCUUAAAUAAGGUGUCUAAAUGAAAUAACUGAACAAGUUUAGGAGUGAGCUCUUAUGAUCAAAAGACAAGGUACUAAGAGUGAGCUCUUGUGCUUGUAGGACAUUGACCCCUGGCCAUGAUGCAGUACAGAAAGUCACAUUGAUCCCAAGAGGUCAAGCUCGCGGUCUUACAUGGUUCAUUCCUGGUGAAGAUCCAACCUUAAUCUCUAAGAAGCAACUCUUUGCUAGAAUAGUGGGAGGCUUAGGAGGUAGAGCAGCAGAGGAAAUAAUUUUUGGUGAACCAGAAAUCACUACUGGUGCAGCAGGAGACUUGCAACAAAUAACUCAAAUAGCAAGACAGGUAUUCACUUAAGCACAUUUUCUUGUUGCACCUACUAAAGAAAACAACAUAGUCGAAUACUCACAAGUUUUCACUUGUCAAUAUUCGCAACCUGAGCAGAUGGUUACAAUGUUUGGGAUGUCUGAGAUUGGACCAUGGGCGUUAACAGAUCCAGCAGCACAAAGUGGCGAUGUGGUG
rnacentral:lncRNA from 1 species